rnacentral:rRNA from 1 species
UACGUAGGGUGCGAGCGUUGUCCGGAAUUAUUGGGCGUAAAGAGCUUGUAGGCGGUCUGUCGAGUCUGCUGUGAAAAUCCGGGGCUCAACCCCGGACUUGCAGUGGGUACGGGCAGACUAGAGUGUGGUAGGGGAGACUGGAAUUCCUGGUGUAGCGGUGAAAUGCGCAGAUAUCAGGAGGAACACCGAUGGCGAAGGCAGGUCUCUGGGCCACUACUGACGCUGAGAAGCGAAAGCAUGGGGAGCGAACAGG